CAGAUUAGAAAAAAAACUUCUACAUAGAGAUAUAGAGGUAAAUGAAUAAAAUUUCAAAACUGUUAUAUAGAGAUUAAAUCCAAGGAAACACAUUUUUAUGACAGAUUUUUAAAAUAUGUGAGAAAACAAAAUCUUUUCCAACAUUUGGUCACCUUAAUUAUCAUUUCUUGCAAAAAUUAAGUUCAAGAUAUAACCAAGAGGGGUGAAAACCACAAGUCGUACCCUCAAACAUUUACUUCUAAUCAAUUUACAAUCUAACCACUUCCAGUCAUUAUGACUAUGAACUGGCCUCCUCUCCCUUAAGUAAGGCCAACACUUAGAAAUGUUUAGUUUUCAGAGCCCCAUUUAUUCAACACCAAAUGAAUUUACAUUAUAUUAGAUAUGGCCAAUGUAUAAGCAAUUGCAUGACUGAUGUCUUUUGACAUCAUUACUCUUUAUUCCUCCUAAUCCAUUUAUUUGCAGCUAAUAAAACUAAGGGUCUGACUCUACUUCUUUAAUUUUUUUUUAAUUUAUUUAUGAUAGGCACACAGUGAGAGAGAGAGAGAGAGGCAGAGACACAGGCAGAGGGAGAAGCAGGCUCCAUGCACCGGGAGCCCGACGUGGGAUUCGAUCCCGGGUCUCCAGGAUCGUGCCCUGGGCCAAAGGCAGGCGCUAAACCACUGCGCCACCCAGGGAUCCCCUCUGACUCUACUUCUAUAAAUUCCAAGAAACCGUGCAAUUAUUUUCAUUAUUGUCAGUGCUUUAUAUUUUUAUUUUUUAAAGAUUUUAUUUAUGUAUUCAUGAGAGACACAGAGAGAGAGGCAAAGACAUAGGCAGAGAGAGGAGUAGGCUCCUUGCAGGGAGCCCAAUGUGGGACUCGAUUCCAGGACUCCAGGAUCAUGCCCUGGGCUGAAGGCAGGUGCUCAAUCGCUGAGCCACCCAGGCGUCCCUGUCAGUGCUUUAAAUCAACAUAGUGAUUUAGCCUGGAAACUGAAUUUAUGACACUAAGUUCUACAUCAUGAGGUUGUCUGUUAUUAGAAGUGUUUUUUUUUUCUUUUUUAGAGAAAGGGGGGGAGGGGCAGAGGAAGAGAGAGAAACCCAAACAGUCUCCAUACCCAUUGCACAGACUGCCUAAGAGGGGCUCUGAUCUCACAACCCUGAGGCUAUAACCUGAGCUGAAAUCAAGAGCUGGAUGCCCAACUGGCUGAGCUACCCAUGUGCCUCAGGAAUGUAAGCUUUUAAAUACAAUGAUGUGGGUAUUUAUUAGUUCUUGUAGGAUAUAUAAGGAAAAACAGAAAUGAUAAAUGACUCUGCUUUUGCUGGUAAGUGAAUCAUUAAAUUUUUUUUUAUUUUGUAGAUUAACCUUCUUGAGUCCAAGAGCUAUUAUAAAGAUUAAACGAAUUAAUAUUUGUAAAGUGAUUAAAACAGUGCUUACUUCAUAGUAAGAGCUAUGUAAGUGUUUAAGUGAGUAUGUAAAAAUAAAUUUAAGGGCUGAAGCCCAUUUUACAGUUUAAUUUCCAAAGCACUUUACAGACGUAAGGACUCUAUCUGUUAUUUGCAUUUAAGUUCAACUGUAUCUUACAGGCUCUAUGUGUUAGCUAACAGUCUUCUAUAUAGACAUAAAUGCAGUUUUGCACUCACACUCGAUUUACCAGUAAACAAGUAAUUUUUAAGAAGUGCAAAUGUGCUUCUGGAAUAACCAAAGGUCUCCCAAGCACACCCAUAGUAAGGAGCUAAUAGGAUGAAUGUUACAGGUAUCUGCACCACUGUCACAGGCCAUGCCACUGGGAUUUAGUACCAGCCAAAAUCUCAAGCAUAUUCAGUGAAAAUAUCAGGCAUAUUCAUAUUUGGACACAAUGUCAGAAUUCAGCAUCCAGUCAUAUGCAGAAAAAGACACCUGUUCUUUCCACCCAUCACAUUACUUCCUCAGUAAGGUCUUUUCUUUUAGUUUAUUCCAGAAAUAGAUCUUAAGCUGUGAUUUACAAAUUUCCCUCUUCAAGUCAGAACCACCUUCCUUGUAGCUUCUUUUAGUAGAAAACAUUUUAAAUAUAUAGGAAAUUACAUAUAAUCCUCACUACAGGUUUUUUAAUUUUUAAGAUUUAUUUAUUUAUUUUAGAGAGUAGAGACAGAGAGAAAGCACAGGCAUGAGAAGGAGGAGGGGCAUAGGGAGAGACUCUAGCAGAUUCCCGGUGGGGCACAGAGCCUGAUGCAGGGCUGGAUCCCACCAUUCAUCAGAUCACGACCUGAGCGGAGACCAAGAGUAAGUUAUUAACCAACUGAGCCACCCGGGCGCUCCUCUCACUAUAAUUUAAGAAAGUUCACUUCUUGGGAAGAAAAACAUUAGCCUUUGACAGCAAAGGUCUAAAUGAAUAAAACUGAGAACACAAAGUAACCUUCAAAUCUUCUGACAAUUAAAACAAUAUAUAUAUGUGUAUAUAUAUAUUUUAAAUUAUAACUUCUAAUAGAAUAGGAAAGAGGAUACUUGAGAAAGAGGAAAAAAUUUACUUUGUCACUACCUAAUUACCUGUCAGCUCUUUAUACUAAUUUAGUUAUGUGUGGGAGUGGAAGGGAAAGCUUUAGAAUAGCUUUUAAAGUUUAUCAACACAAACUUAUAGUUUGGAAAACUGCGUAAAAUAUCUGAUUUUGCAUAAGGAGAUGCGGCAUGAAGAACAUAAAAAGAUAAAAACGAUGGAAGAAAUCUAAAUGAUUAAGUCUGGAAUUUAUAGUCUCACCAGUUAACUAUAAAAAUAGACAAUUCUUUGGAUAGGAUGACAAACAUGAACAAAAUUCCACAAUACGGAAGAGAAAUCAAGAGCUCAAAAGCGGGGGCGGGGGGGUGCAUAACAAAAACAAGAAACAUGAAUUUUUGAGAAGAAAUGGGUAGGGGGAAAUACAAGAAUAUUUCCACUUAAUAUAUUAAGUGGAAAAACUCAUUGGCUCUCUUCCCUGCAUACCAUUUAGAGAAGAAAAAUAUUUCAGCUCAGAAAUGUUUAUAAAUACUUCUAAAUUAGCAGAGGGUAACAGAUUCUGAUUUAAGAAUAACCACCCACAUAUCAUAGUUUAUAGGUAACAUUUAUUUAAACGAUUUUAUUUAUUUAUUCAUGAGGAGGGGGCGCAGAGACAUAGGCAGAGGGAGAAGCAGGCUCCCCGCAGUCCCCCUCUGAUGCGGGAUUCGAUCCCGGAUCCUACGUUCACGACCUGAGCCGAAGACAGAAGCCAAACCGCUGAGCCACCCAGGCGCCCCUAUAGGUAAUAUUUAACAUAAUGACUAUGAUUGUGUUAAAGAAAGCUAGAUCUGGGACCGAAUACAGCUGACGAGUGAAAAAGAUGCUCCUAAAUUUUCAAGUACCUCCAAAAGCCUUAACUAUCAACUAAUCUUUUUCUUCCUCUUAACUUACUCCAAAAAUAGGUCAGGAGCGAUGAACAUUACUUGCUUUUGCAUAAACGUGGGGCAGGCUAUAUGUAUGUAUGUAUUUAUUUAUGAUAGAGAGAGAGAGAGAGAGAGAGAGAGAGAGAGAGAGAGAGAGAGAGAGACACAGGCAGAGGGAGAAGCAGGCUCCAUGCACCGGGAGCCCGACGUGGGAUUCGAUCCCGGGUCUCCAGGAUCGCGCCCUGGGCCAAAGGCAGGCGCCAAACCGCUGCACCACCCAGGGAUCCCGCAGGCUGUUCUUUAAAAGGCAAAUAUUAAAGUAGAAGGAAAUCCUAUUAGUGUCAAUGUUUCAAGUUCUCUGGAGCAAACGCUGUUCAACACCACAUUAUACUAAUAGUAGUAGUCUUUGUUUCUAGCAAGAGAUAUAAUUUUUAGGUUUCUUGAAAAAAAGAAGGCUAAAAGUUCCAUGGGAAAUCUCAUUUUCUGUGGGCAACAUAAGAGGGAAUCCGGUGGGUCCUGGAGCACAAGUCAAAACAGGUCUUGAACGUUUGCCCACGACUCUAACCUACAAGCUCAAACCAGACCAGCACUAACCAGCAGCAGCCCCCGCAGAGCGGAGGGCGUGGCAGGGCCCUCACUCUUUUGAAGCAAAAGAGCUGAGACAGGCCUCGAGUCCACGGAGCUCCGGUAGGCAGAAGGUGAGAGAAAGUUCCAGUUCCCGCGGUCCUAACCAGAGGACACGCUCCUCCGCUGGCCCAACGGAGGGAGGUAACUUGAUAUUGCAAGUGCUUUUAACCUGAAGGCAGUGAUGUACAUCUGGCGGUCUGUAGUGUUUCCCCCUGAGAGGAGGGAGGUGGAGAAGGAGAGGCAGAGAGAAACUCAAGCAAACUCCAUAUUGAGCGGGGAGCCCAAUGCAGGACUCAGUCUCAGGACCCUGAGAUCAUGACCUGAGCCAAAACCAAGAGUUGGAUGCUUCACUAACUGACUGUGUGACCCAGGUACCCCUAACUCCCUACUGGAAAAACUCUACCAGAAAUAGGGAAGCAGAGGACCUGUUGCUGACCCAGGCUCCAGGCAGAAGGCAGGGUGGAGAAUACUUGAAUGUGGAUCUGGAAGGCAAGCAAAAGACACUAAGCACACUGUCUGAAGAGGUUUUUAAAAGCUACAAUGGGGACUCUUUGGUCAUCUUUUUGUUGGAAGAGGACAGCUGGGGAGACAGAGAUAGCUACAGUUAUUGGAACUAUGACUAAGACAUCAGAGAAGAAAGGUUGCUGGGAUCCUUGCCUUUGUGAAAAUGCGCUUUACACAGCCCAACUUUCUGCCUGGAGGAGAUGGAGCUGCUGCUUCCAAGGAGUCUUGCAGAAUUGGAUAAGAGGCAUAUUACAGGGGGCCAUUAAAGACUUAAAUCCUGAAGAGCUCUCAUGGAAUCCUUUGUACCAUAAGGGAAGAGACUCAGAUCAGGUUUGAUUUGAUAUAGAAAAAAUAAUGAACCGUUUUUACUGUUUCUGAGUGUUGUAACUAAGUAAAGUUCAUAUGGACUCCAGCAGGAAGUGAAUAAAUAAUAGAGAUUUCA